rnacentral:rRNA from 1 species
GUCCAGACUCCUACGGGAGGCAGCAGUGAGGAAUAUUGCGCAAUGGGGGCAACCCUGACGCAGCAACGCCGCGUGAGUGAGGAAGGUUUUCGGAUUGUAAAGCUCUGUCGAGCGGAAAGAAGUGCAUGGUGGUUAAUAUCCAUCAUGCUUGACGGUACCGCUAAAGGAAGCACCGGCUAACUCCGUGCCAGCAGCCGCGGUAAUACGGGGGGUGCAAGCGUUGUUCGGAAUCAUUGGGCGUAAAGCGCGUGUAGGCGGCUGGACAAGUCAGAUGUGAAAGCCCUGGGCUUAACCCAGGAAGUGCAUUUGAAACUGUUCAGCUAGAGUAAGGGAGAGGAAAGUGGAAUUCCUGGUGUAGAGGUGAAAUUCGUAGAUAUCAGGAGGAACACCGGUGGCGAAGGCGACUUUCUGGCCCUAUACUGACGCUGAGACGCGAAAGCGUGGGUAGCAAACAGGAUUAGAUACCCUGGUAGUCCACGCUGUAAACGAUGUUCACUAGGUGUUGGGGGUAUUGACCCUUCCAGUGCCGCAGCUAACGCAUUAAGUGAA